rnacentral:rRNA from 1 species
AAUGCCGGAUAAUUGAUGUACGGGAGUCAGACAGUGUGAGAUAAGUUUCAUUGUCGAAAGGGAAACAGCCCAGACCCACAGCUAAGGUCCCAAAGUAUCGUUAAGUGGAAAAGGAUGUGGAACUGCCCAGACAACCAGGAUGUUGGCUCAGAAGCAGCCAUACAUUCAAAGAGUGCGUAAUAGCUCACUGGUCGAGUGGUUCUGCGCCGAAAAUUUAACGGGGCUAAACGAUACACCGAAGCUUGGGAUGCAGCAUUGGCUGCAUGGUAGGAGAGCGUUCUGUACGGGGUGAAGUCAUAGCGGAAGCGGUGGUGGACUGUACAGAAGAGAGAAUGCCGGAAUGAGUAGCGAGAUUUAUGUGAGAAUCAUAAAGGCCGAAAGACUAAGGAUUUAGAAGGAAGGUUCGUCCGCUUCUAGUUAGCCGGGAGCUAAGGCGAGGCCGAAAGGCGUAGUCGAUGCACAUACGGUGGAGAUUCCGUAGCCGCCUCUUAAUUUAAGCAAAGGGACACUUUCAAAGGGAAUGACCCGGGCGUUGGUAGCCCCGGGCGAAAGGGACCGAAAUUAGAGUAGGGAAGCAUUUCUGGAGGAAGGCGAGAAAAGCUUUGCGGAUAGAGAGAGGCGCCCGUACCGCAAACCGACACAGGUAGUCAGGAAGAGGAUUCUAAGGCCAACGGGAGAAGGGUAGUUAAGGAACUCGGCAAAUUGACCCCGUAACUUCGGAAUAAGGGGUGCUCCUGAAAAGGAGCCGCAGUGAAUAGGCCCAGGCGACUGUUUAUCAAAAACACAGCUCUCUGCUAAAUCGAAAGAUGAAGUAUAGGGGGUGACACCUGCCCGGUGCUGGAAGGUUAAGAGGAAGGGUGCAAGCUCUGAAUUGAAGCCCCAGUAAACGGCGGCCGUAACUAUAACGGUCCUAAGGUAGCGAAAUUCCUUGUCGGGUAAGUUCCGACCCGCACGAAUGGUGUAACGAUCUGGGCACUGUCUCAACUACCCACCCGGCGAAAUUGUAGUACCGGUGAAGAUGCCGGUUACCCGCGGCAAGACGGAAAGACCCCAUGGAGCUUUACUGUAGCCUGAUAUUGGGUUUCGGUAUUCUAUGUACAGGAUAGGCGGGAGACUGGGAACCGAUGGCGUCAGCUGUCGGGGAGUCACCCUUGGGAUACCGCUCUUAGAGUACUGGAAUUCUAACCUGCGGCCGUGAAUCCGGCCGGGGGACAUUGUCAGGUGGGCAGUUUGACUGGGGCGGUCGCCUCCAAAAAGGUAACGGAGGCGCUCAA